GACGGACUCUGGCGGCGUGCCUAAUACAUGCAAGUAGAACGCUGAAGAGAGGAGCUUGCUCUUCUUGGAUGAGUUGCGAACGGGUGAGUAACGCGUAGGUAACCUGCCUUGUAGCGGGGGAUAACUAUUGGAAACGAUAGCUAAUACCGCAUAACAAUGGAUGACACAUGUCAUUUAUUUGAAAGGGGCAAUUGCUCCACUACAAGAUGGACCUGCGUUGUAUUAGCUAGUAGGUGAGGUAAUGGCUCACCUAGGCGACGAUACAUAGCCGACCUGAGAGGGUGAUCGGCCACACUGGGACUGAGACACGGCCCAGACUCCUACGGGAGGCAGCAGUAGGGAAUCUUCGGCAAUGGGGGCAACCCUGACCGAGCAACGCCGCGUGAGUGAAGAAGGUUUUCGGAUCGUAAAGCUCUGUUGUAAGUCAAGAACGGGUGUGAGAGUGGAAAGUUCACACUGUGACGGUAGCUUACCAGAAAGGGACGGCUAACUACGUGCCAGCAGCCGCGGUAAUACGUAGGUCCCGAGCGUUGUCCGGAUUUAUUGGGCGUAAAGCGAGCGCAGGCGGUUUGAUAAGUCUGAAGUUAAAGGCUGUGGCUCAACCAUAGUUCGCUUUGGAAACUGUCAAACUUGAGUGCAGAAGGGGAGAGUGGAAUUCCAUGUGUAGCGGUGAAAUGCGUAGAUAUAUGGAGGAACACCGGUGGCGAAAGCGGCUCUCUGGUCUGUAACUGACGCUGAGGCUCGAAAGCGUGGGGAGCGAACAGGAUUAGAUACCCUGGUAGUCCACGCCGUAAACGAUGAGUGCUAGGUGUUGGAUCCUUUCCGGGAUUCAGUGCCGCAGCUAACGCAUUAAGCACUCCGCCUGGGGAGUACGACCGCAAGGUUGAAACUCAAAGGAAUUGACGGGGGCCCGCACAAGCGGUGGAGCAUGUGGUUUAAUUCGAAGCAACGCGAAGAACCUUACCAGGUCUUGACAUCCCGAUGCUAUUUCUAGAGAUAGAAAGUUACUUCGGUACAUCGGUGACAGGUGGUGCAUGGUUGUCGUCAGCUCGUGUCGUGAGAUGUUGGGUUAAGUCCCGCAACGAGCGCAACCCCUAUUGUUAGUUGCCAUCAUUCAGUUGGGCACUCUAGCGAGACUGCCGGUAAUAAACCGGAGGAAGGUGGGGAUGACGUCAAAUCAUCAUGCCCCUUAUGACCUGGGCUACACACGUGCUACAAUGGUUGGUACAACGAGUUGCGAGUCGGUGACGGCGAGCUAAUCUCUUAAAGCCAAUCUCAGUUCGGAUUGUAGGCUGCAACUCGCCUACAUGAAGUCGGAAUCGCUAGUAAUCGCGGAUCAGCACGCCGCGGUGAAUACGUUCCCGGGCCU
rnacentral:rRNA from 1 species